UUGUUGUUGAUACAUGUUUGUGCUGCAGCUGGCUUGUCAUGACUGAACUGAGACAAAAUAAACACUUUGUUUUGUUGCAAGCCUGUAAUCAUACGAUAUAGGUUUGUCAUAAACGGAGACCGAAAUGAUAAACGGUGUUUCAAAGUGAUUUUCGGUGCUUAUUACUGGCACAGCGCAAACAGUCCUUUACUGGCGGAACACAAUGGUGAAGUGAACGUGUUGGGCCGAGGCUUCAACUUCGAGUGCGCUUUACGCUCGUCAGGCCCUUCGGCAUCAGAUAAUAUGGAUAAUAUGUGCUCCAAGCUUCCUUGUGAUAAGGGUCAUUUUGCAGCAUGCCGAGCCAACCUUUUGAUUAUUGGAUUUGUCGUAAGCGAGCUCACCAGUUCCUUCGCCAUCACACAUCUUCCAGCUUCCGCCACCGCACAUUGUUCAGCUUAACAGAACAUUAGAUGCUCCCAAGCAAGCUGCGACUUACAGUUCGGGAGCUUAUCAUCUAUGUCCGCAGUAGUUUUUUGUCGAGCGAUAGUUCAUAUGCUGUGGUCAACUACAGAGCAGCUGUAGCUCCAUAUGAUGAUAUUAUGAAUAAAUCACAUCGAAUACAAGAAUGAGUAAGUUUUGAAGUAAAAGAAAUUAAUAUUAAUAAAACUUAUAUAACAUACUGUUACUCAUAUCAGUAGCCCAUACCAGAAA